UACGUAGGGCGCAAGCGUUGUCCGGAAUUAUUGGGCGUAAAGAGCUCGUAGGCGGCUUGUCGCGUCGGUUGUGAAAGCCCGGGGCUUAACCCCGGGUCUGCAGUCGAUACGGGCAGGCUAGAGUUCGGUAGGGGAGAUCGGAAUUCCUGGUGUAGCGGUGAAAUGCGCAGAUAUCAGGAGGAACACCGGUGGCGAAGGCGGAUUUCUGGGCCGAUACUGACGCUGAGGAGCGAAAGCGUGGGGAGCGAACAGG
rnacentral:rRNA from 1 species